UCCAUUCGAGGAUCAAGGGCCACAGUUUAACACAUCGAAUAGUACCUCACCCCAAAUCGUGGCCGCCAAAGUGAAUCCAACGGCCACAACGUCCGUUGCGGCAACAGCCGCCACCUCCGACCGAGGCCGAGCAGGGGCAUGUGAGCAGGCUUCGACGGCGCACUUGCCGGCGAGGAAUGAUCUAGCGCCCCAACACCCAGUCAAUCGUUGACGCUUGCAAGAUGAUGUGGAGGAGAUAGCGAACGCGCGAAGGGUGAAUUUACCGGAGAUUAUGCAGUGACGAGAUCCAAUUUCUUUGCCCAGCGGCUGAGCGGUGGAAUCAAGGACUCAGGCGACGAAUUUGCUUCCUCUGGUCUCCAGCGGCUGACGAAUUUGUGACACGGCGAAGCCCCUCCGGUACCCUGCCAUGGCGA
rnacentral:lncRNA from 7 species